AGUUGAAAAAUACACUUUUCCCCUGUUUUUUUUUCUAUUUUGAGAAUAAAAGUAUUUAACAGAUAUUCCUGAGCUACUUGGUGCAUUUCCUCCACCUUAUGCCGUUUUGAAUUUAUGAUUCAAUAUCUCAAAAUGACAGAGAGAGUCAAAAAUGACAUUCAGAUGGAAUUGUAGACGACACUUUGGGGGUUCACCACCUGGUAGUUGGGACAUGGUACUACAACUUAAAUGGUUCAAAAUGGCUUCCAAAUAUCUGUCCACUGUAGUGGACACCAUGCAUGAAAGGGUUAAAGCUGUAUUACCUAACAAUAAUAUAUCAUGGAUAAAAAUAAAAGCAGACAUUGUUCUCUGUUCUAUGAUAUGAAUAUGAAUUGAUGAGCUAGCAUGCAUGAACACAGGUAUGUUCAUUUUGGUGCUGAUAUACAAUAAAGUAAUAUUGCAGUUUGCUUCAUCGUCAUGUGUGAGUGACUCUUAAAUGAGCCGUUUUGUUUGGACUUGUGCACUAAACGGUGUCUUGCUAUGGGACACUUUCCUCUGUAGAGAAGUAGGAUGCGAACCUUUCUAAACCUGAUGGCCUCUUUUACUGAGUUGUUGGGUUGUCCUCCACAGGAGGUUAUGGAGAACACAGGUCGCCUUCACACAUUUCUCCACAAGUUCUGGAUGGACCUCAAUGGCACCUCUGUACAUCCUCCACUGGGAGUAAAGGAUCCCAGAGACAUUCUCCACAACUAGCUGAGCUCGGGACAGAUGGUAAUUGAAAACCUGACACUCUCUUAGAAGGACGCGCCAGGAGAACGGCUUCAUGAGGUUUUUUCCGGAGUGCAAAGCCCUCAUCAGCAACAAAGACAUGUGGGUGGAGUCGUCGGUGGUCAGCUCCUGAUGGUGGCAGGUCAGCAGGCAGUUGGAAGGUACCAGAUUGAAGCGCUUGACCAAAAGCUGAGUUGGCGAGAAUCCUACUAUCGCUUGCUCUUCCGUAACGACACCAGUCACGCAGAAACAAUACUGGGCAUCCACAACUGCCAACAUCAGGGACGAUCUUGGAGACAGUGGAGACCCCGAUAUGAAAGCUGUUAGUGACGGUCCUGAAUGAGUCACCAGUGGUUACGUAUCUGUAGCAUAGAAAACAAUUAAUUUAACUGAGUUGUAGAUUUUGUAGGUGGUACUCUACAUGAAAUCUGUUUACAUUAUUGUGGUAGAUAAAAGAAGAGCUACUUUCACUUUGAAAAGUUCAAUACUUAUAAAUCCAUUAUUCAUAAAAUACACCAAGAGUAAAGACAAUACAGUUUCUUCUGUACUGGUUAUACUGGUUUUAACUUAAUGUGUAGUAACUUAGAAGGAAUGUACUAACUUGUUAUGUGUGGAUAAAAAAAAUUGGCAAUAGACCAACUUAACAGUAAAUUAGCCAUGUUAAUGUAACGUUGUUCACAGGAAACAACGCGUCUUUAUCUAUACACAAUUUCUCAUACUGCUGUAAUAAACCAGAUUAAUUCAGCCAACGUUUGACUUGCUAGAUACAGUGAAUAUUUAUUGAUUUUGACACACCAGUUAUGAAACCGCCCCUCAUAGACGACAUAGAGACAGAUGGACAGGCGAGCUGCAGCUGAGACGACACGGUUGGUGUCCAUCCGAGAAAUCCUGGCACCGAUCCUAACUAACAGGUCAUCGAACUGGACCCUGGUCGGCUUUAAGUAGCGCUGGAAGUGGCAGUGAUCCAGACGCAGUUCCUGGAGAAGGAGAUUUAAAACUGAUCGUGUGGAAGAGGCGGGGAGACACUGCAGAUGAGUGAGUAUUGAUGAGCAUCUCUCAGACCAUCUGGCUCACAAGGUGUCGACACGCUUCACUGUGUUUGAAGCUGAACUGAAGCUUCAGAAAGAGUCUGUUAAGACCAGCUGAGGACGGCAGAGAGAGAGAGAGAGAGAGCCUGAAGCUCGCGGCGGGUUGGACACGAAGAGCGGCGUGAAUGUGAAACACAUUAACAGCUGCAUUAAUGAUGAGCUCAGAGAUGCAGCAGGCGCUCGUUCCUACAGGCACUGCAGCCUUUGAUGGCAGCGUUUAAAAGCAAACUCCAGCCGCGGAUCCUCUACUGCUGCUGCUGCUGCUGACGAUGAGGUGACAGAGUGAGGAGAUGGGGGUCACAGUGGGCUCAUCAACCUGACAAUUUUCUCCAGUGAUCCCAGCUUGAUGAAAUCUGCACCUCCGGCUGUCUGGUGGCUCUUGUUUUUCUUUCUUGGGAAGAAGUUAAAAGGAAAAAGAAGCAGUUUCAUCACUCGGAGGAAGACGAGCUGCUGGAGAGUCGAGCCAAACCUGGAACGAAACAUCGCUGCUGAAAAACUCUCUGAGAUGAGAAGCGAUGAUGAGGAGCUGCCAACAUCUGGCUGGGUUUUGUGCUGUGCUAAUGGAUCAAUAUCAGUCACAAUAAACAAAAACAGUAUUGGAAACAAGGCAGUGAUGUAACUAAUUAAUAGGUCAAAUAAUAAAGUAACAACGAUACUGCUGACCUGUUCUGGAGCUCCCUGAUGUGCUGCCAGCAAUUAUUAUUAUUGUUGCAUUUGCAUUUUUUAUUUUUACUUGUAGCAGGAUGAAAAAAACAGCAAAGUAAUGUGAAACCAUUACCAGCUGUGGGCCUGACUCAGUUUAGAAACUGUUUUCCAGCAGGUUUCCUUCAUAUAUAUAU